rnacentral:rRNA from 1 species
AACGGCCGUACCAUGCUGAAUAUACCGGUUCUCGUUAGAUCACCGAAGUCAAGCAUCAUUGGGCGCGGUCAGUACUUGGAUGGGUGACCACCUGGGAACACUGCGUGCCGUU